rnacentral:rRNA from 1 species
UACGUAGGGUGCGAGCGUUGUCCGGAAUUAUUGGGCGUAAAGAGCUUGUAGGCGGUUUGUCGCGUCUGCCGUGAAAGCCCAGGGCUUAACCCUGGGUCUGCGGUGGGUACGGGCAGACUAGAGUGUGGUAGGGGAGACUGGAAUUCCUGGUGUAGCGGUGAAAUGCGCAGAUAUCAGGAGGAACACCGAUGGCGAAGGCAGGUCUCUGGGCCACUACUGACGCUGAGAAGCGAAAGCAUGGGGAGCAAACAGGAUUAGAU